AAGUCGUAACAAGGUUUCCGUAGGUGAACCUGCGGAAGGAUCAUUAGAGAUGCCGCGAGGCUUGAUCAUACACACAUGCGUGAACCGGGGCGGCCCACUUGCCUUUGCGGGGGGCCGCCCAGUUUUUUAUACAUGAUGUCUGGAAUGUAUACACUGUAACCGAAAAAACUUUCAACAACGGAUCUCUUGGCUCUC
rnacentral:misc_RNA from 1 species